UUCAUCUUUGAGAGGAACCUUUCAAGUGCAUCCAAGAAUUCCACAGGGCAAAUGCCAAGUCUCUGCAUCUGUGUCUCCAAGCUACACUCAGACUUUCUUCCAUUUCUUUUUGCCUCUGGGGAUCCACCAGCCACAGUGUGUCUGAACUGAUUGCUUACCACCAGAAUCAUCUGUGUUUUGGGUAUCUUUCUUUGAUAUCUUCAACUCAUCCCUCACAACAUCAUCUGAGCUUUUAUUUCUGGAUUCUGAAUUCUCAUGCUUUUCUGAGAUUUCCUUCUGACCUCCAGGAUGCCUAAGAUGUUCUCCCAUUGCAGGCCUUAUUGGAAAAGGGGUAGUGAUCUCUUCUGUUCAAAUAGCAGGGGUUUCCAUAUGAGACUGGGCAGGUAUCCUGAAGUACAUCACCUGCUGUGGAAUCAUAGGCCAUAAGAAUGAAACCUGGCUUGAAAACUGGAUUGUUGUGAAUGAAGAACUCUUCUUGAGAUUAAUGUGGUUUCUACUGAAGUCUUAAGAUGUAAAUUUGAAAUGUUGUGGAAUGUAUAAGUGUCUUUUGGCUGCUAACUCUCAGAGGGAAA